GUGCUCGCUUCGGCAGCACAUAUACUAAAAUUGGAAUGAUACAGAGAUUAGCAGGGCCCCUGCGCAAAGAUUACACUCAAAUUCAUGAAGCACUCCAAAGUAAA